rnacentral:rRNA from 1 species
GACGAACGCUGGCGGUGUGCUUAACACAUGCAAGUCGAACGGAAAGGCCCUGCUAUCGUGGGGUGCUCGAGUGGCGAACGGGUGCGUAACACGUGAGUAACCUGCCCUUGACUUUGGGAUAACUUCAGGAAAGUGGGGCUAAUACCGGAUAGGAGCUCCCGUUGCAUGGAGGGGGUUGGAAAGUCUGGGCGGGCGGGGAUGGACUCGCGGCUUAUCAGCUUGUUGGUGGGGUAGUGGCUGACCAAGGCAUUGGCGGGUAGCCGGCAUGGGAGGGUGGCCGGCCACCUGGCGCCUGCGGUACGCCCCAGUGUCCUACGGGGGGCAGUGGUGGCGAAUAUUGCACAGCGGGCCGAAGCCUGUUGCAGCGGCGCCGCGUUCGUGAUGACGGCCUUCUGGUUGUGAACCGCUUUCGCUUGUGACGAAGCUUGAGUGACGGUACUGAGUGAAGAAGCACCGGCUAACUACGUG